CUUUUUUCAAUGAUAAUACUGUUGGCAUCCCAGCUGCCCCAAACAGAGAAGACAAGCCGACCUCAGGAGCUACGGUUGUCAGUGUCUAUGGCAAGUUGUUUGACCAAGCUCAUCUCUGUGUGCUUCAAAACACAGAUGAAAUCAGAAGCUACUUUAGUGAACACAUGGAAUAUUUGAAGAAUGAGUUUCCAAGAUUCGGAAAUAAUAAAAAGUGGCUUACGGACAAGCAAAACAAAACAUUUGCUGAUUGGUUGAAAGACAGGGUUGCUGGUCAACUCAGUGAACCAGGUUGUGACAUCCCCGAGAUUGUGAGGUGGCUUGCAGAUAAACCAAGCAAUGAAAUUCCAAAGUUUAGUGGUUACAAAAUAAGGGGAGU